UACGUAGGGUGCAAGCGUUGUCCGGAAUUAUUGGGCGUAAAGAGCUCGUAGGCGGUUUGUCGCGUCUGCUGUGAAAACCCGAGGCUCAACCUCGGGCCUGCAGUGGGUACGGGCAGACUAGAGUGGCGGUAGGGGAGAUUGGAAUUCCCGGUGUAGCGGAUGAAAUGCGCAGAUGAUCGGGAGGAACACCGGUGGCGAAGGCGGUUCUCUGGGCCUUACCUGACACUGAGGAGCGAAAGCGUGGGGAGCGAACCAGG
rnacentral:rRNA from 1 species